rnacentral:rRNA from 1 species
UACAAAGGAAUUGACGGGGCCCGCACAAGCGGUGGAGCAUGUGGUUUAAUUCGACGCAACGCGAAGAACCUUACCAGGGCUUGACAUCCCCUGACCGCGUAUGAAAGUACGUUUUCACCUCGGGUGACAGGGAGACAGGUGGUGCAUGGUUGUCGUCAGCUCGUGUCGUGAGAUGUUGGGUUAAGUCCCGCAACGAGCGCAACCCCUACGUUUAGUUGCUAACGCGUGAAGGCGAGCACUCUAGACGAACUGCCGUUGACAAAACGGAGGAAGGUGGGGAUGACGUCAAAUCAUCAUGCCCCUUAUGUUCUGGGCUACACACGUGCUACAAUGGCCGGUACAGACGGGCGCAAAGCCGCGAGGUGGAGCAAAUCCUAAAAAGCCGGUCUCAGUUCGGAUUGCAGGCUGCAAUUCGCCUGCAUGAAGUCGGAAUCGCUAGUAAUCGCAGGUCAGCAUACUGCGGUGAAUACGUUCCCGGGCCUU